AUUUGGCACUGCAGGGCAGUAAAGUGGAAAAUAACAGCUCAGGGACGGAAUCCUGUCCACCGCGGGCUUUUGUAAAUAACAUUUUAUUGGAAUACGCUUUCCUUGAUGUAUCAUCUCUGCUCACUUUUGUACACCACAUCAAAGAUAUGUAGUCGUAACAAAGACCUUAUGAGCCACUAAGACUAAAUUAUUGCCAUCUCCCCCUUUAUAGGUCAAGUUUGCUGACCGCGGCAUGAGGGUAUGGGCAAGACCUUCAGCAGCCCCUUCCUUCCUCAACUGCGGCUUUCAAUACCCUGGGAAAGUAUACAAGGACUUCAAGCCCGGGAGGCAGCAUCUCAAGAGACCCUGAGAGAACUGCUCCAAGGAGGCAAAGGAGGAGCUGGAUUAUAUAGAAGUUUUGCAACAAAGGGCAGAACCAGAUAUCCCAAGGUGGCUGCAGUGAGUGCUCUUUCGCAGAGUGUGACUCCGUGUCUAAGGGGCUUCUGUCAAAAUGUGGGCGUGACCGGUCCUGUCCACAGAUACAGAUUUUCCCCUGGGGGCCCACGGAGGUCACAGCGGCACCCUUAGGAUCACAGCAGAGGCAAAAGGUUUUAUUUGUUUAUUCAUUGUCUGCACUGUACAACAAGUGGAAUCCAGUACCCUGAGCAGGGACGGAACCUG
ensembl:lncRNA